rnacentral:rRNA from 2 species
AUUGCUUCUAAUUGUCCUUUGGACAUAUUAUUCAAUUGUCUGACCUCGGAUCAGGUGGGAUUACCCGCUGAACUUAAGCAUAUCAAUAAGCGGAGGAAAAGAAACUAACAAGGAUUCCCCUAGUAACGGCGAGUGAAGCGGGAUGAGCUCAAAUUUAAAAUCUGGUAGUCUUUGGCUGCCCGAGUUGUAAUCUAGAGAAGUGUUUUCUGUGCUGGACUGUGUACAAGUUUCCUGGAUACGGAACAUCAUAGAGGGUGAGAAUCCCGUCCUUGACGCAGGCUCCCAGUGCUUUGUGAUACGCUCUCAACGAGUCGAGUUGUUUGGGAUUGCAGCUCAAAAUGGGAGGUAAAUUCCUUCUAAAGCUAAAUAUUGGCGAGAGACCGAUAGCGAACAAGUACCGUGAGGGAAAGAUGAAAAGCACUUUGGAAAGAGAGUUAAACAGUACGUGAAAUUGUUAAAAGGGAAACGAUUGAAGUCAGUCGCGUCUACUUGGACUCAGCCUUGCCUUGGCUUGGUGCAUUUCCUUGUGGACGGGCCAGUGUUCAUGUUGGUUGCUGGAAAAAGUGUAGGGGAAUGUGGCUCUUUCGGGAGUGUUAUAGCCCCUGUUCAUAUACAGUGACUGAUAUGGAGUGGUACAGCAUGCUUCGGCGGUGCUUGUGCUGGCAUAAUGGCUUUAAACGACCCGUCUUGAAACACGGACCAAGGAGUCUAACAUGUCUGCGAGUAUUUGGGUGAUAAACCCGAGUGCAUAAUGAAAGUGAUAGCUGGGAACCCCGUAAGGGAGGCACUGGCGCCCCGAGCGGAUCUUCUGUGAUGCAUCGGAGGUAGAGCAUAUAUGUUGGGACCCGAAAGAUGGUGAACUAUGCCUGAAUAGGGUGAAGCCAGAGGAAACUCUGGUGGAGGCUCG